ACUUUAGUGAUAAACAUGAAUAACACUAAAAUUCUGUAAUAUCAAGAAUGUAGAGUAAUCUAGUAUUAUUUCAAAAUUUGUAGUAAUUACUCUUUUUAAUCCUUUACGAACAAGUUAUGCUUUCUCAUAAUCUUAGAGAAAAUGUGUAGAAAUAUUAAUCAGAAAAUGAUUCAUUUGAAGCUUAGUUUCUUUCAACCGCAUUUACAUUUUCUUUCUUUUAGAAUCAUUUGAGUGAGCUGAAAUAUUUCUAGCUUUAAGAUCAUUCACUCUAUUGAUAGAAGUGUUUAAUAAUGUAGGGGAGAAAAACAUAUAGAUGAUUAUUGAAAUAUAUAUAUUUUUAGAACUCAAUUUCUUAAUCAUAGUUUUUCAUGAAGCACAAUAAAUCUUUUUAAUAUCAAAAUAACCUCAUAUAUUUAGAAAUUUUUGUUUGUAAUCAAGAUCAUUGAAAGACACACCAUUUAGACCAAUAUGAGUACACUUUGAAGAUAAGAAAUGAUAUGUUUCGGAAGUGUAUCGGAGCGAUCAAAAUAAAUUCUGUUUUUCUUACAUUAACAUUUUAUUUAGUAAUCAUAUGGAGUUUAAACUUUUAUACAAAAUCAUAUUCUGAAUUUCAUAAGGAUUUUCAAUAGAGGCUUUUUAAGUCAUAGUUUGAGAUAUGUAUCUUUCACAUUGUGGCUCAUCUUAAAUUAUUACAAAAUAAGGAUAUUUUAACAAGUAUUAGAACAUUAUAUAUCAAAGUUAGGCAAUUAGAAAGAUAGAUCAAAAUCAAUUUAUUUUUCCUAAAUAGAGAUACUCUUCUCUUCUCCUUUCUACAAUUUUAUUCGACUUUCAGAUUUUAGAGAUGAUUAUGAAUGACAAAUCUGAAAUUUCUUUUCAAUAGAACCAAACAAAAGAUGUUAUGUAGCAAUUCAAACAUUCAAACAAAUUGUCCAAGGAUGAAGCAUUACAAAAUAUUGAGAAUCAAUAAAUCAAGACAUCAUACCAUAUGCAAAAUAUACCAUGUGUUAAGUCAUGCAUUAAAAUACUAAGUACAAGAAUGUCAAGGAUCAAAAUCAAUUCUUUUCAAAUAAACUCCCCCUAUUUAAA
rnacentral:lncRNA from 1 species